rnacentral:rRNA from 1 species
UGGGGAAUUUUGCGCAAUGGGCGAAAGCCUGACGCAGCAACGCCGCGUGUGUGAUGAAGGUCUUUGGAUUGUAAAGCACUUUCGACCGGGACGAAAACCUGUUGGCUAACAUCCAGCAGCUUGACGGUACCGGGAGAAGAAGCACCGGCUAACUCUGUGCCAGCAGCCGCGGUAAUACAGAGGGUGCAAGCGUUGUUCGGAAUUAUUGGGCGUAAAGCGCGUGUAGGCGGCUUUGCAAGUCGGAUGUGAAAGCCCUCGGCUCAACCGAGGAAGUGCGUUCGAAACUGCAGAGCUUGAGUACCGGAGAGGGUGGCGGAAUUCCCCAAGUAGAGGUGAAAUUCGUAGAUAUGGGGAGGAACACCGGUGGCGAAGGCGGCCACCUGGACGGUCACUGACGCUGAGACGCGAAAGCGUGGGUAGCAAACAGGAUUAGAUACCCUGGUAGUCCACGCCGUAAACGAUGAGAACUAGGUGUCGUGGGUGUUGACCCCCGCGGUGCCGUAGCUAACGCAUUAAGUUCUC